GUGAGGAAUAUUGGACAAUGGGCGCAAGCCUGAUCCAGCCAUGCCGCGUGCAGGAAGACGCAUCUAUGGUGUGUAAACUGCUUUUGUACGGGAAGAAACACUCCCUCGUGAGGGAGCUUGACGGUACCGUAAGAAUAAGGAUCGGCUAACUCCGUGCCAGCAGCCGCGGUAAUACGGAGGAUCCAAGCGUUAUCCGGAAUCAUUGGGUUUAAAGGGUCCGUAGGCGGUUUAAUAAGUCAGUGGUGAAAGCCCAUCGCUCAACGAUGGAACGGCCAUUGAUACUGUUAGACUUGAAUUACAAGGAAGUAACUAGAAUAGGUAGUGUAGCGGUGAAAUGCUUAGAUAUUACAUGGAAUACCGAUUACGAAGGCAGGUUACUACUUGUGGAUUGACGCUGAUGGACGAAAGCGUGGGGAGCGAACAGGAUUAGAUACCCGAGUAGUCC
rnacentral:rRNA from 1 species